rnacentral:rRNA from 1 species
AACGAACGCUGGCGGCAUGCCUAACACAUGCAAGUCGAACGAGACCUUCGGGUCUAGUGGCGCACGGGUGCGUAACGCGUGGGAACCUGCCCUUAGGUUCGGAAUAACUCCCCGAAAGGGGUGCUAAUACCGGAUAAUGUCUUCGGACCAAAGAUUUAUCGCCUUUGGAUGGGCCCGCGUUGGAUUAGCUAGUUGGUAGGGUAAAAGCCUACCAAGGCGACGAUCCAUAGCUGGUCUGAGAGGAUGAUCAGCCACACUGGGACUGAGACACGGCCCAGACUCCUACGGGAGGCAGCAGUGGGGAAUAUUGGACAAUGGGCGAAAGCCUGAGCCAGCAAUGCCGCGUGAGUGAUGAAGGCCUUAGGGUUGUAAAGCUCUUUUAACCGGGAUGAUAAUGACAGUACCGGGAGAAUAAGCUCCGGCUAACUCCGUG